CGAGACGCUAUUGCGCAUUAUUGUGCGCAUGACGUGAGUCUACACUUAAAAGUCGUGAUGGCAAGUUGCUUUUUACCGAUCAUCAUUUGAUCGAAGCUUCGAUCGAAACAGUAUUGUUUCGAAAGUAUAGGAUUCUUCGUUGACUUUUAUGCAGAUGUGGCCCCAAGACGGAAAAUAUUUCUUAUAAUUCUAAAAAAUUGACGAUUCGCGUUCGUACUACACUCGACAGGUUUCGACUUGUUGAGCAUCCCCCCCUUCCGCCAUUUGUAAUUCGAUACAUCAAAGUCGUUGCGCGGAGUGUUAUUUCAUUGUCGAAAUUCGUGACGAUUAGACGCUUCGUUUGAGAUAAGUACAACAUUGUUGAUUGAUGCAUUUAUAGGUGGGAAAAAGGAUUUAAUAUAUAUA